GUAGCAUCACCUCCUGGUUUGGGAACAGAACCAUGCAGAUCAGGCGAGCCCUCCAGAGGUGUUGCAGUCAGCUGAGUGUACUAUAAAACACAGAGCUCCCUGAUGACCUGCAGGACAUCUACAACAAGUGGUGCCAGACCAGGGCCACAAAGAAUGAGGACAAAAGUAUUGGGACGCCUUACUUUUCCGCAAUCUGUCACAACUAAGUUGGAGGCACACAAUUUUACAGGAUGUCCUUCAAUGAGGUUGGCAAAGUGUUCUUACGGUCUGUAAUCAUGCUGUUGAAGCAGGAGAACACAAUACAGACACCACACCAUCUUGUGUGUUCAUCUAAUCCUGUCCUCCUAAGAAGAAAAAAAGGUUGUGCAAACGAACAUGCGAGAACUAGUUACUAGAUAUACAGCAUGUGCUGUGGCAAAAAUAAGGAAUAUGAAAUUUUUUUUCCUUGAAUCAACUGUGCACAAUAAAUAAAAUAAUGUUUCUUUUAAAAAAA